rnacentral:rRNA from 1 species
AUUGAACGCUGGCGGCAGGCCUAACACAUGCAAGUCGAACGAGUGGCGGACGGGUGAGUAAUGUCUGGGAAACUGCCUGAUGGAGGGGGAUAACUACUGGAAACGGUAGCUAAUACCGCAUACCAUCGGAUGUGCCCAGAGGGGAGUAGCUAGUAGGUGGGGUAACGGCUCACCUAGGCGACGAUCCCUAGCUGGUCUGAGAGGAUGACCAGCCACACUGGAACUGAGACACGGCCCAGACUCCUACGGGAGGCAGCAGUGGGGAUUAUUGCGCUAUGGGCGCAAGCCUGAUGCAGCCAUGCCGCGUGUAUGAAGAAGGCCUUCGGGUUGUAAAGUACUUUCAGCGGGGAGGCGUUACCCGCAGAGGAAGCACCGGCUAACUCCGUGCCAGCAGCCGCGGUAAUUC